rnacentral:rRNA from 1 species
UGAAGUNAAAGGCUGUGGCUUAACCAUAGUACGCUUUGGAAACUGUUUAACUUGAGUGCAGAAGGGGAGAGUGGAAUUCCAUGUGUAGCGGUGAAAUGCGUAGAUAUAUGGAGGAACACCGGUGGCGAAUGCGGCUCUCUGGUCUGUAACUGACGCUGAGGCUCGAAAGCGUGGGGAGCGAACAGGAUUAGAUACCCUGGUAGUCCACGCCGUAAACGAUGAGUGCUAGGUGUUAGGCCCUUUCCGGGGCUUAGUGCCGCAGCUAACGCAUUUAGCACUCCGCCUGGGGAGUACGACCGCAAGGUUGAAACUCAAAGGAAUUGACGGGGGCCCGCACAAGCGGUGGAGCAUGUGGUUUAAUUCGAAGCAACGCGAAGAACCUUACCAGGUCUUGACAUCCCGAUGCCCGCUCUAGAGAUAGAGUUUUACUUCGGUACAUCGGUGACAGGUGGUGCAUGGUUGUCGUCAGCUCGUGUCGUGAGAUGUUGGGUUAAGUCCCGCAACGAGCGCAACCCUUAUUGUUAGUUGCCAUCAUUCAGUUGGACACUCUAGCGAGACUGCCGGUAAUAAACCGGAGGAAGGUGGGGAUGACGUCAAAUCAUCAUGCCCCUUAUGACCUGGGCUACACACGUGCUACGAUGGCUGGUACAACGAGUCGCAAGUCGGUGACGGCAAGCUAAUCUCUUAAAGCCAGUCUCAGUUCGGAUUGUAG